rnacentral:lncRNA from 1 species
AGCAGUUAACACUCCAUUAAGCCUUGUCCCAUUCUGAAAAGCUGAUACAGAACAAUGGCAGUGACAACCACAUUGACAUGGAAUGAGGAAAGAAGUUUUCAAAAGCUGCUUGGAAAUGUUUCUCUGAGACUUCUUUAUAAGUCUAGUGUCCAUGGAGAAAACACUGUAGAAAUGCAGAAUAGGUGCCGUUGUCAAGGACCCAUUGUAACAGUGAUUUAUCAUUCCCACAAUAUUUUUGGUAUCUUUAUGCUUGGGCAUAGUUCUGAAAAGUCCAAAAGUUUUAUAGAGCCAAAUGAGUCCUUCUUUUUUUCACUUCAAAAGAAUGAAACAAUGGAAAUGAAAACUGUAGUUUUAAAUUCAACAGUGACAAUUUCUUAUAAUACCUCGGAAUUCAAUAUCUCUAGUUAUGACAAACAAUAUUUAGUUCUAAAUUUCCACAGAAAACGCAUUUGUAUAGCUAGAGUUUUAGAGCAAGAGUUAAGAGUAAAAUGUAACCCAAUGUUCCCACGUUUAGAAUGUGAAGUUUUUCGAGUUGAAGGAAUUAAGGAUGAGGCAGGCUACAUAAACAGGAUAACAAGAGCCACACAGCACAGAAAUAGUCUCCUAGCAGAUGUCAGAGCCUACAGUCCCUAUGCAGACUUGGUUUCAGAAAUCCGUAUUCUCUUGCUGGGUCCGGCUGGGUCUGGAAAGUCCAGUUUUUUCAAUUCAGUGAAGUCCAUUUUCCAAGGCCAUUUGACUCGCCAAGCCAUAGUGGGAUCUGAUGUCACCAGCAUUACUGAACAGUAUAGGAUAUAUUCUAUUAAAGAUGGAAAAGAUGGCCAGUCUCUGCCAUUUAUGUUGUGUGACUCCAUGGGGCUGGAUGAGGAAGAGGGAGUAGGGUUAUGUGUGGAUGACAUACCCCACAUCUUAAAAGGCUGUGUGCCAGACAGAUAUAAGUUUAGUCCCCAAAAACCAAUUACACCCAAGCAUCCUACUUUCAUCACCUCUCCAUCACUGAAAGACAGGAUUCACUGUGUGGCUUAUGUCUUUGAUAUCAACUCUACGGACAAUCUCUCCCCUAAAAUGAUGGCGAAGCUCAAACAAAUUAAAAAAGAAGUAAUAAACUGUGGUGUAGCACAAGUAGCAUUACUUACUAAAGUGAAUAAUUGCAAUGAAGUUCUUCAAGACAACUUCUUAAAGAUGAAUAAGGCUAUGAUUUCUCAAAGCCAGAUACAGAAUGUCAACAAGAUACUAGGCAUUCCUCUUUCUAGAAUAUUGGUGGUUGAAAAUUAUGCUUCAGGGAGGGAGAUGGACCCUUUAAAGGACAUUCUGAUCCUUUCUGCACUGAAGCAGAUGUUCCGAGCUGUGGAUGACUUCUUAGAGGAUUUGCUUCUUGAGUAAACAGAUACAACUGCAGGAAUGUUCCAGCUCUGCAUCAAUUGACUUGAUUCAGACACUUGGCCCGAGCUGGAGUUGCCAACAGCCUCUUUGAGAUUCUGCUUCUACUCGUGUUUUGCUUUCUGUCCCUGACAACAUUUAACUGAUGGUUUCUU